UACAGAGGCUGCGAGCGUUAUUCGGAUUCACUGGGCGUAAAGGGUGCGCAGGCGGCCAAGUGUGUUAGGCGUGAAAGCCCGGGGCUUAACCCCGGAAUUGCACCUAAAACUACAUGGCUAGAGCAUUGGAGAGGGUAGCAGAAUUCACGGUGUAGCAGUGAAAUGCGUAGAUAUCGUGAGGAAUACCAGAGGCGAAGGCGGCUACCUGGACAAUUGCUGACGCUCAGGCACGAAAGCGUGGGGAGCAAAAGGG
rnacentral:rRNA from 1 species